UCCAUUACGUCAUGUCUGCUCAGGUGUUUUUUUUUUUGUUUUUUUUUUCACGAAAGUAACAUCAGUGUUUUCGGAAUCUCAGCGCCCUCUAGUGGUGUAGGCGGCGUUGCAAGCAGCGUAGCCGUUCCACUAGUGUACUGAAGAUUUGUGCAAGGCUGGGUAAAGCAGACGCAGGUCUCUACAGGGCGCACAGAUCUUCAGAACACCAGUCCACAGCUGCCCAGCCAGCACUAAUCCUUUCCGGACUGGUUCCCUCUACACCGGCCUGGAUUCACCAUCGGUUUUAUCACAGAUUACAGAUUAAAAUCUGCAUGUAAAAUACAA